rnacentral:rRNA from 1 species
CCUACGGGAGGCAGCAGUGGGGAAUUUUGGACAAUGGGCGAAAGCCUGAUCCAGCAAUGCCGCGUGAGUGAAGAAGGCCUUCGGGUUGUAAAGCUCUUUUGUCAGGGAAGAAACGGUGAGAGCUAAUAUCUCUUGCUAAUGACGGUACCUGAAGAAUAAGCACCGGCUAACUACGUGCCAGCAGCCGCGGUAAUACGUAGGGUGCAAGCGUUAAUCGGAAUUACUGGGCGUAAAGCGUGCGCAGGCGGUUUUGUAAGUCUGAUGUGAAAUCCCCGGGCUCAACCUGGGAAUUGCAUUGGAGACUGCAAGGCUAGAAUCUGGCAGAGGGGGGUAGAAUUCCACGUGUAGCAGUGAAAUGCGUAGAUAUGUGGAGGAACACCGAUGGCGAAGGCAGCCCCCUGGGUCAAGAUUGACGCUCAUGCACGAAAGCGUGGGGAGCAAACAGGAUUAGAUACCCUGGUAGUCCACGCCCUAAACGAUGUCUACUAGUUGUCGGGUCUUAAUUGACUUGGUAACGCAGCUAACGCGUGAAGUAGACCGCCUGGGGAGUACGGUCGCAAGNUUAAAACGUCAAAGGAUUGACGG